rnacentral:rRNA from 1 species
CCUACGGGGGGCAGCAGUGGGGAAUAUUGGACAAUGGGGGAAACCCUGAUCCAGCGAUGCCGCGUGAGUGAAGAAGGCCUUCGGGUUGUAAAGCUCUUUCAGAGGGGAUGAUGAUGACGGUACCCUCAGAAGAAGCACCGGCUAACUUCGUGCCAGCAGCCGCGGUAAUACGAAGGGUGCAAGCGUUGUUCGGAAUUACUGGGCGUAAAGAGCGCGUAGGCGGCUUAUCAAGUCAGGCGUGAAAUCCCUGGGCUCAACCCGGGAAUUGCGCUUGAAACUGGUAAGCUUGAGUGUCAGAGGGGUGAGUGGAAUUCCUAGUGUAGAGGUGAAAUUCGUAGAUAUUAGGAGGAACACCAGUGGCGAAGGCGACUCACUGGCUGAAUACUGACGCUAAGGCGCGAAAGCGUGGGGAGCAAACAGGAUUAGAUACCCGAGUAGUC